UACGAAGGGGGCUAGCGUUGUUCGGAAUUACUGGGCGUAAAGGGCGCGUAGGCGGUGUGUCAAGUCAGGCGUGAAAGCCCCGGGCUCAACCUGGGAACCGCGCUUGAGACUGGCACGCUAGAGUUCGGGAGAGGAUGGUGGAAUUCCCGGUGUAGCGGUGAAAUGCGUAGAGAUCGGGAGGAACAUCAGUGGCGAAGGCGGCCCUCUGGACCAGUACUGACGCUGAGGCACGAAAGCGUGGGGAGCAAACAGG
rnacentral:rRNA from 1 species